rnacentral:rRNA from 1 species
GACGAACGCUGGCGGCGUGCUUAACACAUGCAAGUCGAACGAUGAAGCCGGAGCUUGCUCUGGUGAAUUAGUGGCGAACGGGUGAGUAACACGUGAGUAACCUGCCCUUGACUCUGGGAUAACUGCUAGAAAUGGUAGUUAAUACCGGAUACGACCCUCGGAGACAUCCCCAGGGGGUGGAAAGAAUUUCGGUCAAGGAUGGACUCGCGGCCUAUCAGCUAGUUGGUGAGGUAACGGCUCACCAAGGCGACGAAGGGUAGCCGGCCGGAGAGGGUGACCGGCCACACUGGGACUGAGACACGGCCCAGACUCCUACGGGAGGCAGCAGUGGGGAAUAUUGCACAAUGGGCGCAAGCCUGAUGCAGCAACGCCGCGUGAGGGAUGACGGCCUUCGGGUUGUAAACCUCUUUUAGUAGGGAAGAAGCGAAAGUGACGGUACCUGCAGAAAAAGCACCGGCUAACUACGUGCCAGCCGCCGCGGUAA